rnacentral:tRNA from 1 species
UAGGUCUUAUAGUUUUAUAAAAAAUAUUAAAUUGCAAGUUUAGAGAAAGGCUUCUUAAGACUU